rnacentral:tRNA from 1 species
GACGGUUUGGCCGAGUGGUCUAAGGCGCUUGACUAGAAUCACCACGUGAGUUUCGGUUAUCAAGUCUCUUCGGAGGCGGCGGUUCGAAUCCGCCAGCCGUCG